rnacentral:rRNA from 1 species
CCUACGGGAGGCUGCAGUGGGGAAUAUUGCGCAAUGGGCGAAAGCCUGACGCAGCGACGCCGCGUGAGGGAUGAAGGUCUUCGGAUCGUAAACCUCUGUCAGCAGGGAAGAACGGUCACUGUGCUAAUCAGCAGUGAAUUGACGGUACCUGCAAAGGAAGCACCGGCUAACUCCGUGCCAGCAGCCGCGGUAAUACGGAGGUUGCGAGCGUUAAGCGGAAUUACUGGGCGUAAAGCGCUCGUAGGCGGUAUGUCAAGUCAAGGGUGAAAUCCCCGCGCUCAACGUGGGAACUGCCUUUGAAACUGGCGAACUGGAGUGUGGGAGAGGAUAGUGGAAUUCCAGGUGUAGGAGUGAAAUGCGUAGAUAUCUGGAGGAACAUCAGUGGCGAAGGCGACUAUCUGGCACAUAACUGACGCUGAGGAGCGAAAGCGUGGGUAGCAAACAGGAUUAGAUACCCGAGUAGUC